UUUAAUAUAUAUUGUAAUACAUUUUAUAUAAUUACACACAGGAAAUCUCCUCAAAUUUUAAUAUGUAUACAAAUCGUCCUGGGAUCUUGUUAAAGUGCAGUUUCUGAUUCAGUGGGUGCAGAUCAAGCUGAGAUUCUGCAUUUCUAACUAGCUCCUUGGUGAUCCUGAUGCUCCUUGUUCUAAGACCACACUUAGAGCAGCAAGGUCAUGGCGGGGGGGGUGGGGGCUCCAACAUGUUUUACUGAUAGUAUUGCACAAUAAAAAAUAUUUGGAGAUGACUAGGGAAUGAAUGGAGUACACUUCCUUCAGGUUAUCCCCCCUUAACCACUGCUUCUCUCAAUGGAGUUUUUGGCAGGUACUAUGAACAAAUGUGAACCUGAAAUAGGCAAUGCUCCAAAAUGGAUCCUGAGUGGCUAACUGGGCCUAAAUUUUAAAUAGAGCCAAGUGGCCAUCUGCCAACUAAAGGUCAGAGGUCUCAAGUUCCUCCAAAACCCACACCUCCGUUCAACUUUGGGACUUCCAGAGCUCACCUGAACCAACCAAUCUGAGAUCAUCUGCCUUGACCAAUCAUGGCUUAGCUGCCUCAACCAAUCAGGGCUCAGUUGCCUUGACCAAUCAGGGCUCAGUUCUAUCAACCAAUCAGAACCAGAUAAGCCAGCUGCAGAAUAUAUCCUGAGGUACCUGCUUUAUGGAAUUAUUCACACUGUUCACCAACAAGAAGAAUAAAGUCAAUCAAUUCAAGGAGUCUCAGAACAGGAGCACAUAGGCACCAAACUUUGUGGGACAACAAAUAUAAUGAAGAGUAUGUUUGCUUCUUUCAAACAAAGCCACGUGAAGUCAAGGCCCUUAACACCCACCCCUCCCACAUACUGAGGGGAAAAUUCAGAUGCCCACUGGAGUCAGCCGGUCAGACUGCCUUUUGCACACUCCUUGCCUCCACUCCAGUUUACCCUGGAAGACCUGUCUGCUAUGGCUGAAUCUGAGAGAGAUCCUUGAGUAACGAAUUAAGGAAUGAACAAAUGUUGCUCUGGAGAAAGCUGUAGCUUCCACGUCCUGCAUAACUGCACUCAGUACUGACCCUGAAGAUGGGAAAAGCAAUACAACUGGUGCUAGAAAUGUUAUGAGAAUGACUUGGAUGACCUGAAAAAUGAAUGAGCUCCUUGAACAAGGCUUGCCUGGAAUUUCGCUUUGCUGCAGAGACAUCUGGAAAUGUGGAUUGAGGGUGGAAAUAAAAUGAAGAUGUCCUGGAAACUUCCAACUGAUCCUUGGGUCUAAUUGGUGUGGGAUAUAUAGCACAAGCGUGAGAAGCCAUGAAGUGAGAGCCCCGACAGGGGCUCAGAGUCAAAAACCUAGAUGUUAGCUCCCAAAGUCCUUCCAAAUCUGCUCCAGCUCCCCACAUCACUCCUAGCUGCCCUUGGCCCUCUACACCUUUCCCCUCCCGAUUCCUUGGAAAAUAAGCAUUCCUCCCCCACCCCCCCAGCUCUACGAACACA